rnacentral:rRNA from 1 species
UACGUAGGGUGCGAGCGUUUGUCCGGAAUUAUUGGGCGUAAAGGGCUCGUAGGCGGCUUGUCGCGUCGGCUGUGAAAACCUGGGGCUCAACCCCGGGCCUGCAGCCGAUACGGGCAAGCUAGAAUUCGGUAGGGGAGACUGGAAUUCCCGGUGUAGCAGUGAAAUGCGUAGAUAUCGUAAGGAAGACCAGUGGCGAAGGCGGGUCUCUGGACAGUUCCUGACGCUGAUGCACGAAGGCCAGGGGAGCAAACGGG